UGGGGAAUAUUGGACAAUGGGCGCAAGCCUGAUCCAGCCAUGCCGCGUGGGUGAAGAAGGCCUUCGGGUUGUAAAGCCCUUUUGUUGGGGAAGAAAUCGUACGGGGUAAUAUCCCGUGCGGAUGACGGUACCCAAAGAAUAAGCACCGGCUAACUUCGUGCCAGCAGCCGCGGUAAUACGAAGGGUGCAAGCGUUACUCGGAAUUACUGGGCGUAAAGCGUGCGUAGGCGGUUCGUUAAGUCUGUCGUGAAAGCCCUGGGCUCAACCUGGGAAUUGCGAUGGAUACUGGCGAGCUAGAGUACGGUAGAGGAUGGUGGAAUUCCCGGUGUAGCGGUGAAAUGCGUAGAGAUCGGGAGGAACACCCGUGGCGAAGGCGGCCAUCUGGACCAGUACUGACGCUGAGGCACGAAAGCGUGGGGAGCAAACA
rnacentral:rRNA from 1 species